rnacentral:rRNA from 1 species
UGGGGAAUAUUGCACAAUGGGGGAAACCCUGAUGCAGCGACGCCGCGUGGAGGAAGAAGGCCCUCGGGUUGUAAACUCCUGUCUUUGGGGACGAUAAUGACGGUACCCAAGGAGGAAGCCACGGCUAACUACGUGCCAGCAGCCGCGGUAAAACGUAGGUGGCAAGCGUUGUCCGGAAUUACUGGGUGUAAAGGGAGCGCAGGCGGAGCGGCAAGUUGGAGGUGAAACCCAUGGGCUCAACCCAUGAACUGCCUUCAAAACUGUCGGUCUUGAGUGGUGUAGAGGUAAGCGGAAUUCCCGGUGUAGCGGUGGAAUGCGUAGAUAUCGGGAGGAACACCAGUGGCGAAGGCGGCUUACUGGGCACUAACUGACGCUGAGGCUCGAAAGCAUGGGUAGCAAACAGGAUUAGAUACC